rnacentral:lncRNA from 1 species
CCGGGCGGAGGGGAGCGGGAUGGGCGCGGAAGGCGGGGCCGCGAGGGGAGGUGGAGGCUGCGGCCGGGCCCCCGUGCCUCUCAUCUCCUCGGAGUCCGGCAGGCGCUCCGCUGCUGUCCCGAGGCCGCCUUCCCCUCCGAGCGGCGCUGCCGGGCGCUGCCCCCCGCGGACGGAGCCGAGCCGCGCCGCCGCUGCUGCCGCCCCCCGCGGCGGGACCUGCGGCGCGGAGGAGAGGCCGGGCUGCCGGCCCGAGGGAGUUUCCACAAUGGAGAGGAGGGAAGGUGGUAAUUGUGCCAUGGAUCAGAAUUCGAGUCAGAGCAUCAUGCCAAGAAGAAAUACAGGAAAUCUUAACUACUUGGUAAUGUUUCUGUAAAAAGCAGCUCAUAUGUCACAAAGAAUAAUUCAAUCCUUGAUUCAAUUUUGUCCAGAGACAGUAUUACC